UGCAGUCGAGCGAACAGAAAGGAGCUUGCUCCUUUGACGUUAGCGGCGGACGGGUGAGUAACACGUGGGCAACCUACCCUAUAGUUUGGGAUAACUCCGGGAAACCGGGGCUAAUACCGAAUAAUCUCUUUUGCUUCAUGGUGAAAGACUGAAAGACGGUUUCGGCUGUCGCUAUAGGAUGGGCCCGCGGCGCAUUAGCUAGUUGGUGAGGUAACGGCUCACCAAGGCGACGAUGCGUAGCCGACCUGAGAGGGUGAUCGGCCACACUGGGACUGAGACACGGCCCAGACUCCUACGGGAGGCAGCAGUAGGGAAUCUUCCACAAUGGGCGAAAGCCUGAUGGAGCAACGCCGCGUGAGUGAAGAAGGUUUUCGGAUCGUAAAACUCUGUUGUAAGGGAAGAACAAGUACAGUAGUAACUGGCUGUACCUUGACGGUACCUUAUUAGAAAGCCACGGCUAACUACGUGCCA
rnacentral:rRNA from 1 species